rnacentral:rRNA from 1 species
GAUGAACGCUGGCGGCGUGCCUAAUACAUGCAAGUCGAGCGAACGGACGAGAAGCUUGCUUCUCUGAUGUUAGCGGCGGACGGGUGAGUAACACGUGGAUAACCUACCUAUAAGACUGGGAUAACUUCGGGAAACCGGAGCUAAUACCGGAUAAUAUUUUGAACCGCAUGGUUCAAAAGUGAAAGACGGUCUUGCUGUCACUUAUAGAUGGAUCCGCGCUGCAUUAGCUAGUUGGUAAGGUAACGGCUUACCAAGGCAACGAUGCAUAGCCGACCUGAGAGGGUGAUCGGCCACACUGGAACUGAGACACGGUCCAGACUCCUACGGGAGGCAGCAGUAGGGAAUCUUCCGCAAUGGGCGGAAGCCUGACGGAGCAACGCCGCGUGAGUGAUGAAGGUCUUCGGAUCGUAAAACUCUGUUAUUAGGGAAGAACAUAUGUGUAAGUAACUGUGCACAUCUUGACGGUACCUAAUCAGAAAGCCACGGCUAACUACGUGCCAGCAGCCGCGGUAAUACGUAGGUGGCAAGCGUUAUCCGGAAUUAUUGGGCGUAAAGCGCGCGUAGGCGGUUUUUUAAGUCUGAUGUGAAAGCCCACGGCUCAACCGUGGAGGGUCAUUGGAAACUGGAAAACUUGAGUGCAGAAGAGGAAAGUGGAAUUCCAUGUGUAGCGGUGAAAUGCGCAGAGAUAUGGAGGAACACCAGUGGCGAAGGCGACUUUCUGGUCUGUAACUGACGCUGAUGUGCGAAAGCGUGGGGAUCAAACAGGAUUAGAUACCCUGGUAGUCCACGCCGUAAACGAUGAGUGCUAAGUGUUAGGGGGUUUCCGCCCCUUAGUGCUGCAGCUAACGCAUUAAGCACUCCGCCUGGGGAGUACGACCGCAAGGUUGAAACUCAAAGGAAUUGACGGGGACCCGCACAAGCGGUGGAGCAUGUGGUUUAAUUCGAAGCAACGCGAAGAACCUUACCAAAUCUUGACAUCCUUUGACAACUCUAGAGAUAGAGCUUUCCCCUUCGGGGGACAAAGUGACAGGUGGUGCAUGGUUGUCGUCAGCUCGUGUCGUGAGAUGUUGGGUUAAGUCCCGCAACGAGCGCAACCCUUAAGCUUAGUUGCCAUCAUUAAGUUGGGCACUCUAAGUUGACUGCCGGUGACAAACCGGAGGAAGGUGGGGAUGACGUCAAAUCAUCAUGCCCCUUAUGAUUUGGGCUACACACGUGCUACAAUGGACAAUACAAAGGGCAGCGAAACCGCGAGGUCAAGCAAAUCCCAUAAAGUUGUUCUCAGUUCGGAUUGUAGUCUGCAACUCGACUACAUGAAGCUGGAAUCGCUAGUAAUCGUAGAUCAGCAUGCUACGGUGAAUACGUUCCCGGGUCU